AGAUGACCGCCAUGAUAAAGCCUAGCCAGCAGUCAGGUACUGAGUCUUGCGUGGUGCUUGGUAACAAGUACUGCGAAGCGUAGACAGGGAGAUAACAGGCCGGAAUCGAAAGAUGAAGAGGAUAAUUAGCCCCGAAAUCGGUUAUAAGCGAAGCAGUCGACCUUAUGCCCCAACAGGGAAGACGGAAACGACCUAUUCGUGAUGGCGAGACUGGGAAGUUGCUUCCGGGGUUCGUACC
rfam:Bacterium I07 isolate I07 NODE_22_length_12574_cov_1461.72, whole genome shotgun sequence.